UCCACACACUAGGCCCUACCACCGGCAAACAAACACAAUGCUGUUGCCAUGGCGAAGAGACUUGUUUCACUACAGCUUUCAGAGUUCUCAGCCAUCAUCUUAUGGAACAUGACAGAGCUCCUCACGACAUAAUCAUCUAACAACUGGGGUGCCUACCCACUGAUGGAACAAGCAGACAGUUAACCUCAAUUAGUAAACCCAAAUGGUUGGAGAGAGCUUUGAUGGAGGCUAGAGGGCCAACCAGCUUACCAUGUGGGAAGGAAGUGUGUCCAGAUAUUCAGCGUCUCAUUGGUCAGCUGGAAGAGGCUUAGGACGCAGUCAGUUGCUGAACUGCGAGGAUGGCGAUAGCCUGAAAUGAUGCUAUCCUCCUGGAAUGCCUUUGUAACACAGGGACACAUUUUAUGUAGGCCUACACACUUUAAUCAAGUCCAUGUCUAACCUAAACUAUCUGUUACAGACAAAAACAAAUAAAUCAAUAAAUGCUGAAUUAUAAUCUUCAAAAACA